ensembl:lincRNA Gm43971 predicted gene, 43971
GGCAGUUUGUAAUGGCGCUUCCAUUCUUCCUGACUUCUUCAGUCUAGCCAAGAGUUUCUAGCCUUUUUGUCUAGGCUUGCGUUCUUCAUGCCAGAAAUUCAUUGUGCAAUUAGCCCCAUCAUUGGAUGAAGCUUCAAGUAUCUUUAUACACAGUUUUUCUGAUGCUGACAUGGUACAUUUAAAUGGAAAUGAAAAUGAUGAUGGCAUCAAAAUGGCAAGCUUUCGAUGCCCCUUCUUCUAUAUAGCAAUGACUCCGGAAGACAUUUAUCAAAUAAAAUAAGAUUCAUGCCUAUAACCCCAGCAUUUCAGAUUUGGAGGCAAGAGGAUCUCAGGAAUUCAAGGUCAUCCUUGGCUCUACAGAGAGUUCAAGGCCAGCCUAGACUAUAUGCUUCACCUCAAAGAAAACACAAAAGCAAGGCUUUCCUCGUGGCUCAGCAGAUAAGAGUGCACAGCAUGGAAACCCAAGUUCAAGUCCUCAGUACCCAUAACAUGACCAUUGCACCCAUGAACUUGCUGCUGCUAUGAUAACCUGCACAAGAUCAGGGCAGCAUGAUCAGUCAACAUUCUAACAGACAGCACUAAUUAGACUCAAUAUGAGGGGAGAGGAAGAGGGAGAGGGAGGAAGUGAAGAAGGAAGGGCUAUGUUGGGGAGGUCUCGGCAGCAUUGGAAGGGACUUAGGAGGGGUAUAAUUACAUUCAUUGUUUGCACUUGUCAAAGAAUAAAUAAAAAUGUUUUAAGAAAC